CUGCAGGAAGCCAUCUACAGGAAUUAUUGUAAUAUCUCGCUGAGGCCGGAUCAGUUCACCGCCUACCUCAUGUCCUCCGACGUAGGGUUCUCCAGCUACGAGCUGCUCGCCACACCGUGCACCUCCGCAAAAGGGUUCCAGCGGUCUAUCUAUGCUUUCCACAAGUCUGGGAUCCGGGAGGAACCGCCGCCAUCCGCGCCUCUCCAGGGUUAGAGGACUUUGUUUUUUUUACCGCGCUCCCCUUUUAUUUUGUAUUGUUUCGGUGGGUGGGACAGAGUUUAUUUUUUUGCAUUUUCUGGGGUUUUGACCUUUGCCUGUUGCAGAAUACAAGCUGUUAUAUGAUG